AACGAACGCUGGCGGCAUGCCUAACACACGCAAGUCGAACGAGACCUUCGGGUCUAGUGGCGCACGGGUGCGUAACGCGUGGGAACCUGCCCUUAGGUUCGGAAUAACUCCCCGAAAGGGGUGCUAAUACCGGAUAAUGUCUUCGGACCAAAGAUUUAUCGCCUUUGGAUGGGCCCGCGUUGGAUUAGCUAGUUGGUAGGGUAAAAGCCUACCAAGGCGACGAUCCAUAGCUGGUCUGAGAGGAUUAUCAGCCACACUGGGACUGAGACACGGCCCAGACUCCUACGGGAGGCAGCAGUGGGGAAUAUUGGACAAUGGGCGAAAGCCUGAUCCAGCAAUGCCGCGUGAGUGAUGAAGGCCUUAGGGUUGUAAAGCUCUUUUACCCGGGAUGAUAAUGACAGUACCGGGAGAAUAAGCUCCGGCUAACUCCGUG
rnacentral:rRNA from 1 species